GAUGAACGCUGGCGGCGUGCCUAAUACAUGCAAGUCGAACGAAACUUCUUUAUCACCGAGUGCUUGCACUCACCGAUACAGAGUUGAGUGGCGAACGGGUGAGUAACACGUGGGCAACCUGCCCAAAAGAGGGGGAUAACACUUGGAAACAGGUGCUAAUACCGCAUAACCAUAGUUACCGCAUGGUAGCUAUGUAAAAGGUGGCUAUACUACCGCUUUUGGAUGGGCCCGCGGCGCAUUAGCUAGUUGGUAGGGUAAAGGCUUACCGAGGCAAUGAUGCGUAGCCGAAUUGAGAGGUUGAUCGGCCACAUUGGGACUGAGACACGGCCCAAACUCCUACGGGAGGCAGCAGUAGGGAAUCUUCCACAAUGGGCGAAAGCCUGAUGGAGCAACGCCGCGUGGGUGAAGAAGGUCUUCGGAUCGUAAAACCCUGUUGUUAGAGAAGAAAGUGCGUGAGAGUAACUGUUCACGUUUCGACGGUAUCUAACCAGAAAGCCACGGCUAACUACGUG
rnacentral:rRNA from 1 species